rnacentral:rRNA from 1 species
UUGACGGGACCGCACAGCGGUGGAUGAUGUGGUUUAAUUCGAUGCAACGCGAAAACCUUACCCACCUUUGACAUGGCAGGAAUCCCGAAGAGAUUGGAGUGCUCGAAAGAGAACCUGCACACAGGUGCUGCAUGGCUGUCGUCAGCUCGUGUCGUGAGAUGUUGGGUUAAGUCCCGCAACGAGCGCAACCCUUGCCAUUAGUUGCUACGAAAGGGCACUCUAAUGGGACUGCCGGUGACAAACCGGAGGAAGGUGGGGAUGACGUCAAGUCCUCAUGGCCCUUAUAGGUGGGGCUACACACGUCAUACAAUGGCCGGUACAGAGGGUAGCCAACCCGCGAGGGGGAGCCAAUCCCACAAAGCCGGUCGUAGUCCGGAUCGCAGUCUGCAACUCGACUGCGUGAAGUCGGAAUCGCUAGUAAUCGCGGAUCAGCAUGUCGCGGUGAAUACGUUCCCGGGUCUU